rnacentral:RNase_P_RNA from 1 species
GGGCAGGCUCGCCUUGUCGCUGCCCCUCGCGGGGGAGAGGAAAGUCCGGGCAACGCAGAGCACCGUCCAAGUUAACGACUUGAUAGCCGUGAGGUUAUAGGAAACGUAACAGAAAACGACCGCCCCUGCUUGCAGGGGUAAGGGUGAAAAGGCGGGGUAAGAGCCCACCGCGGCGGCAGCGAUGUCGCCGGCCGUACGUCUGACGGGUUGCAAGACCGUGUAUACCGGCAGUUAAGGGUUGCUCGCCCGAUGUCGGGGGGUAGGUUGCUGGAGGCGGCGGGUGACCGCCGUCGUAGAUAAAUGACAGGGGCUCCGCACCGGAAGCGCGCAGCGGAGUACAGAACCCGGCUUACAGAGCCUGCUAAAAC